rnacentral:sRNA from 13 species
CUGUCGAGGAUCGAGGUGGCCAUACGAAAUACUGUCAGCCUCAGGAUAAGCAACGUUCUUCACUGUAUUCGGCCACCGCUAGCUAGAUAGCAAGACUAAGGUCUCUGCGCGACCAUAAAAAUAAAGGGAUGCAGGCGAAGGAUAAGAUCCGGGUCAUCCACGCCAAAGGCAGCGGAAGUUCUCCGGAGGAGCUUUGGGCUGAGUAAAUUCACACAAAGACUUCAACGCCAAGUUAGACCAACGCAUGCUGGGAGUGUAUCACGCCAAUGACAUCCGGAUGUGAUCGGCAGAACGGAAGAAUAAAGUACUCAAUGUCAAGGACCCAAAAAAAUAUAAUUCCCGUACAGCGAGGGCCCCACGUAAAGCGCCGUUCGAACUGCCAAAGCUUCAUGUAGCGCUUCUCGAAAUCUUUGGUUGGUGCUACAGUUGGAGUCGAUUAUAGGGCCUUAUCGAUAAGUAGUUUUGGUGGAGCCAAAGGUUCGAUCCGGGAUUACUCUUAAAUCCAAAGCGGGAAUACGGCGGGGAUCAUGAAAUGCAAAUGCAAAUAAUCGGCGAACCAACAUAUAGGGCCCCGGAUAAAGUUGCACUGAAGUCGAAUAAUCUGAAGCCAAUAAUCUGCGGCAUCACCAGCAGAAUACCAUCCACAUCCCCAGAGCCCCAAGGCACUUUAAACCAAAGAUGCUCCAGCGGGACUCGUUCCUGAGAAUUUCGGAACCCUGACCCUGGUGAGUACGCAGCGGACAGUGCAGGGGUCUAGCGGACUAGACACAAGGCUGUCGUGCAAUGAACAUCUUGCGGAAACGAGCAGGAAGGCGGCGAUCCAUGUUUGAAAUACCUACCUUUGAAAUACACUCCUUACAUGGCUACUUUCCGUACUGACCCUAAGAUAAGCAAGCGCAGAAAUACUAAGGAAAAGAAAGGCUAAACGAACUUUAUCCCAUUUCGUUUUGAUCUUCGUUUCUCUAAAUCGCAACCAUGGGUGGAAGCAAUCCUAAUGGUCGUGCUACCUUUCAGAAU